rnacentral:rRNA from 1 species
AUACGAAAGGUGCAAGCGUUGUUCGGAUUUACUGGGCGUAAAGAGAGUGUAGGUGGUUUAUUAAGUCGGAUGUGAAAUCCCGGGGCUCAACCUCGGAACUGCAUUCGAUACUGAUAGGCUAGAGAUUGGGAGGGGUAAGCGGAAUUCCGUGUGUAGCAGUGAAAUGCGUAGAUAUACGGAGGAACACCUGAGGCGAAGGCGGCUUACUGGACCAAUACUGACACUGAGACUCGAAAGCGUGGGUAGCAAACAGGAUUAGAUACCCUUGUAGUCC